rnacentral:rRNA from 1 species
AUUGAACGCUGGCGGCAGGCCUAACACAUGCAAGUCGAGCGGGAACUUCGGUUCUAGCGGCGGACGGGUGAGUAAUGCGUAGGAAGCUACCCGACAGAGGGGGAUACCAGUUGGAAACGACUGUUAAUACCGCAUAAUGUCUACGGACCAAAGUGUGGGACCUUCGGGCCACAUGCUGUCAGAUGCGCCUACGUGGGAUUAGCUAGUUGGUGAGGUAAUGGCUCACCAAGGCGACGAUCCCUAGCUGGUUUGAGAGGAUGAUCAGCCACACUGGAACUGAGACACGGUCCAGACUCCUACGGGAGGCAGCAGUGGGGAAUAUUGGACAAUGGGCGAAAGCCUGAUCCAGCCAUGCCGCGUGUGUGAAGAAGGCCUUCGGGUUGUAAAGCACUUUCAGUAGGGAGGAAGAGUUGAGUGUUAAUAGUACUCAGCUUUGACGUUACCUACAGAAGAAGCACCGGCUAACUCUGUGCCAGCCGCCGCGGUAAUAC